rnacentral:rRNA from 1 species
UACAGAGGUGGCAAGCGUUGUUCGGAAUUACUGGGCGUAAAGGGCGCGUAGGCGGCCUCUUUAGUCAGACGUGAAAUCCCCCGGCUUAACCUGGGAACUGCGUCUGAUACUGGGAGGCUAGAGUUCGGGAGAGGGAUGUAGAAUUCCAGGUGUAGCGGUGAAAUGCGUAGAUAUCUGGAGGAACACCGGUGGCGAAGGCGGGUCUCUGGGCCGAUACUGACGCUGAGGAGCGAAAGCGUGGGGAGCGAACAGG